CGUCCGAAGGGCAAGUACUGUAAAUCAAAGGACUCUCUGGCAUUAUCUAGCUUCCUUUCUGCUUUAAAAGUUAGAACAGAUGUCACAAGAGAGGACAAAAUGGAUUUUACCCACCAAGAGAGGCUUUUCUUGCCAUCCUUAAUAGGAAGCGCCUUGAAAUGUUAAUGUACACAGUUUGUGUUGCCGGGGUUUGCAUAGAGAUGGUGGGAAACAGCUCUGAUCCCAACAAAACCUUUUGUUAUUAAUCAAGAAAAUCUGGUCCGCUGAAGCAGCAAAGAGC
rnacentral:lncRNA from 1 species